UUCGCUGUUAUUUGUUGCCAUUCUGACAC
rnacentral:sRNA from 1 species